rnacentral:rRNA from 1 species
GAUGAACGCUAGCGGGAGGCUUAACACAUGCAAGUCGAGGGGCAGCAUAGGGUAGCAAUACUCUGAUGGCGACCGGCAAACGGGUGAGUAACGCGUAUGUAACCUACCCUGUACAGGGGGAUAACCCGGAGAAAUUCGGACUAAUAUCCCAUAACAAUAUCCGGGGGCAUCUUUGGAUAUUUAAAGUUCCGGCGGUACGGGAUGGGCAUGCGUAACAUUAGCUAGUUGGUAAGGUAACGGCUUACCAAGGCUUUGAUGUUUAGGGGUCCUGAGAGGGUGGUCCCCCACACUGGUACUGAGACACGGACCAGACUCCUACGGGAGCAGCAGUGAGGAAUAUUGGUCAAUGGGCGCAAGCCUGAACCAGCCAUCCCGCGUGCAGGAAGACGGCGCUAUGCGUUGUAAACUGCUUUUCCAGGGAGAGAAACUUGCGCACGUGUUGCGCAAUUGACGGUACCCUGGGAAUAAGCAUCGGCUAACUCCGUGCCAGCAGCCGCGGUAAUCGUAG